CCCCCCUCAAGAUGAGAUUUCCCAACUUCGGUUAUAAGAUCCCUCAAAGAUGAUGAGGUUAAUAGGUUCGAGGUGGAAGCGUGGUGACACGUGGAGCUGACGAAUACUAAUCGAUCGAAGACUUAAUCAAU
rnacentral:rRNA from 1 species